UGAUGAUCAAAUAUUUAUAGGAUAUGGAUGGGCUCGCGUGACAUUAGCUAGUAGGAGGGGUAACGGCCCACCAAGGCUACGAUGUCUAGGGGCUCUGAGAGGAGAAUCCCCCACACUGGUACUGAGACACGGACCAGACUCGUACGGGAGGCAGCAGUAAGGAAUAUUGGUCAAUGGAGGGAACUCUGAACCAGCCAUGCCGCGUGCAGGAUGACUGCCCUAUGGGUUGUAAACUGCUUUUGUCAGGGAAUAAACCUUUCCACGUGUGGGAAGCUGAAUGUACCUGAAGAAUAAGGAUCGGCUAACUCCGUGCCAGCAGCCGCGGUAAUACGGAGGAUCCAAGCGUUAUCCGGAUUUAUUGGGUUUAAAGGGUGCGUAGGCGGUCCUAUAAGUCAGUGGUGAAAGACGGCAGCUUAACUGUCGCAGUGCCUUUGAUACUGUAGGACUUGAAUCUAUUUGAAGUGGGCGGAAUAAGACAAGUAGCGGUGAAAUGCAUAGAUAUGUCUUAGAACUCCGAUUGCGAAGGCAGCUCACUAAGUUAGUAUUGACGCUGAUGCACGAAAGCGUGGGGAUCAAACAGGAUUAGAUACCCUGGUAGUCCACGCCCUAAACGAUGAUAACUCGAUGUUUGCGAUACACAGUAAGCGUCCAAGCGAAAGCGUUAAGUUAUCCACCUGGGGAGUACGGUCGCAAGAUUGAAACUCAAAGGAAUUGACGGGGGCCCGCACAAGCGGAGGAGCAUGUGGUUUAAUUCGAUGAUACGCGAGGAACCUUACCCGGGCUUGAAAGUUAGUGAAUGAUCCAGAGACGGAUCAGUCCUUCGGGACACGAAACUAGGUGCUGCAUGG
rnacentral:rRNA from 1 species